UACGUAGGGGGCAAGGCGUUGUCCGGAUUUAUUGGGCGUAAAGGGCUCGUAGGCGGUUUGUCGCGUCGGGAGUGAAAUCCACUGGCUUAACUGGUGGCUUGCUUUCGAUACGGGCAGACUGGAGGUAUGCAGGGGAGAACGGAAUUCCUGGUGUAGCGGUGAAAUGCGCAGAUAUCAGGAGGAACACCGGUGGCGAAGGCGGUUCUCUGGGCCUUACCUGACACUGAGGAGCGAAAGCGUGGGGAGCGAACAGG
rnacentral:rRNA from 1 species